rnacentral:ncRNA from 2 species
GAGAGCCGCAUGCAGCGAAAGCUGCACGUGCGGUUCGGUGGGGGGAACAGGGCUGACUCCCGGAGCAGCACCACUCCUACCCAAC